GACCAAGAGAUUAAGUUAUGUAUUUAGGUAAAAAGACAGUUAAGUAGAUUACUUAAAGUUUGAUAAUUUUUUAUAAGAGGGUAAAAUUUGGAUUUAAAGAUAUAAUUUUAAACAUGCUUUUAAGCUGAAGCUGUGAUAAUUUUGAGGGAAACUGGGAUUAGAUACCCCAUUAUUCAUUAUUGUAAAUUAAUUAGAAUUUACCAGAGUACUAUGAAGACGAAUUUAAAACUCAAAGGGCUUGGCGGUGUUUUAGACCAAUUAGGGGAACCUGUCUCGUAAUCGACAAUCCACGAUAAACCUAGCCUUUUUUCGUAAACAGUUUGUAUACCGUCGUCGUCAGGUAACUUUUAAAAAUGUAGAAGUUGGCAUAAAUAAUUUAAAUAAAUUAAGACGUCAGAUCAAGGUGCAGCUAAUAUAAAGGAGAGGAUGGGUUACAAUUAUAAAAUAGUAAUAUGGAUAGUUUAAUGAAAGAAGCUUAAAGGAGGACUUAAAAGUAAUUAUAUAAUAUAUAAAUAACUUGAAUAAGGCUCUGAAACGUGC
rnacentral:rRNA from 1 species